AACGAACGCUGGCGGCAGGCUUAACACAUGCAAGUCGAGCGCCGUAGCAAUACGGAGCGGCAGACGGGUGAGUAACGCGUGGGAAUCUACCCAUCACUACGGAACAACUCCGGGAAACUGGAGCUAAUACCGUAUACGUCCUUCGGGAGAAAGAUUUAUCGGUGAUGGAUGAGCCCGCGUUGGAUUAGCUAGUUGGUGGGGUAAUGGCCCACCAAGGCGACGAUCCAUAGCUGGUCUGAGAGGAUGACCAGCCACACUGGGACUGAGACACGGCCCAGACGCCUACGGGAGGCAGCAGUGGGGAAUAUUGGAUAAUGGGCGCAAGCCUGAUCCAGCCAUGCCGCGUGAGUGAUGAAGGCCCUAGGGUUGUAAAGCUCUUUCACCGGUGAAGAUAAUGACGGUAACCGGAGAAGAAGCCCCGGCUAACUUCGUGCCAGCCGCCGCGGUAA
rnacentral:rRNA from 1 species